GAAAGGCUCGUUACUUAUAUGUUGUAGUCCCUUGUUAUAAGGGGAUUAAAUAUUUACUCUACGGCAACAACUUUAUAAAAAGUUUGUUAAAGUUUUCGAAGAGUUAAAAUUUGUGGCAAGUGUAAAAUAGGGCAAUAGAUGGCCAUCAGAGCGAGCGAGGGAGCGACCUUCAGACAUUAGUGUGCAGCGCCGGCAACAGGUGUCACCACUGGCGUUGCCAUAGUCAACAAAAACAACCUGUUCUGACUGCACUCUAUGUGAUGUGGCAGUGCAGCAAACAGAGGCUUUCACUACCUAGAUGCCAUGGUCUCUGCACCUGUUGGAACUCACUUUGCCAUUAUGGUGUCUUGAACAGCGCCUUUUAAAAUCCGGAAAGAAAAUGGGAUGGUUCGGGUGCAGAAAUUUAUUCUGGCUUAUUUAAUUACUACAUUACUGUAUUUAAAUUUCCAAGGGAAGAUUUAUUUAAGUGAGGCCUCAGUAAAAGCAGGAUGGUGUCUUAAAAAUGUGUGAUUUAAAAAUAUUUUAAGCUUAAAGAUAAGGAGAUAAUAUAUUGUAUUUGUCGAAUUGUGAUUUAUAAAACAUAACUUUAAAUACUUAAUAAAUGUGGAGUUUAUGAAAGUGAUAGAAUAUUUAAGAAAUAAAAUAUAUUGCAGUUGAAAUUUAUAAGACUUCCUAAGGAGAGUAAUCACACUUCACCUGAAAAAGUUGAGAAAUUUUGUGGAUGUGCUUCCAACCUAUACUUCAGUGCCUUAUUGAAGAGUGUUAUUAAAAUGCA